CUAAGCCAUGCGAGUCGAGAGGUGCAAGACCUCGGCAUACUGCUCAGUAACACGUGGACAACCUAACCUACAGAGGGGGAUAACCCCGGGAAACUGGGGAUAAUACCCCAUAGACUAUGGAUGCUGGAAUGCUUCGUAGUUGAAAGGUCAGCCGCUGUAGGAUGGGUCUGCGGCCGAUUAGGUUGUUGUUGGGGUAACGGCCCAACAAGCCUGUAAUCGGUACGGGUUGUGGGAGCAAGAGCCCGGAGAUGGAUUCUGAGACACGAAUCCAGGCCCUACGGGGCGCAGCAGGCGCGAAAACUUUGCAAUGCGGGAAACCGUGACAAGGGAACUCUGAGUGCCCGUUAAAUCGGGCUAUCCAUCGGUUUAAAUAACCGGUGAAGAAAGGGCCGGGCAAGACCGGUGCCAGCCGCCGCGGUAAUACCGGCGGCUCGAGUGGUGGCCACUAUUACUGGGCUUAAAGCGUUCGUAGCUGGUUUGUUAAGUCUCUGGGGAAAUCUUCCGGCUCAACCGGAAGGCGUCUCAGGGAUACUGGCAGACUAGGGACCGGGAGAGGUGAGAGGUACUCCAGGGGUAGGAGUGAAAUCCUGUAAUCCUUGGGGGACCACCUGUGGCGAAGGCGUCUCACCAGAACGGCUCCGACAGCGAGGGACGAAAGCUGGGGGAGCAAACCGGAUUAGAUACCCGGGUAGUCCCAGCUGUAAACGAUGCGCGUUAGGUGUAUCGGUGACCACGAGUCAUCGAGGUGCCGAAGAGAAAUCGUGAAACGUGCCGCCUGGGAAGUACGGUCGCAAGGCUGAAACUUAAAGGAAUUGGCGGGGGAGCACCACAACAGGUGGAGCCUGCGGUUUAAUCGGACUCAACGCCGGAAGUCUCACCGGAUAAGACAGCUGGAUGAUAGUCGGGCUGAAGACUCUACUUGACUAGCUGAGAGGAGGUGCAUGRCCA
rnacentral:rRNA from 1 species